rnacentral:rRNA from 1 species
UGGCGGUGUCCCACCCAUACUAGAGGAGCCUGUCCUAUAAUCGACACCCCACGCUAUACCUUACCCCCCCUAGCCACCCAGCCUAUAUACCGCCGUCGCCAGCUCACACUGUGAAUGCACCACCGUAAGCUAAAUCAUCAACCAUUGAAACGACAGGUCAAGGUGUAGCUCAUGGGGGGGCCAGUGAUGGGCUACAUUUUCUUCACUAGAAAAUACCACCCGCACCGUGAAAUCUCUGCCCACAGGUGGAUUUAGAAGUAAGCCCUGACAAGAUAUGUCAACCUGAACAAGCCCUGGGACGA